rnacentral:rRNA from 1 species
CAGCAGCCGCCGCGGGAAUACGAAGGGGGCUAGCGUUACUCGGAAUUACUGGGCGUAAAGGGCGCGUAGGCGGCGCUCCAAGUUAGGCGUGAAAGUCCUGGGCUCAACCUGGGAACUGCGCUUAAGACUGGAGUGCUUGAGGAUGGAAGAGGGUUGUGGAAUUCCCAGUGUAGAGGUGAAAUUCGUAGAUAUUGGGAAGAACACCGGUGGCGAAGGCGGCAACCUGGUCCAUUACUGACGCUGAGGCGCGAAAGCGUGGGGAGCAAACAGGAUUAGAUACCCCCGUAGUCCCUGUCUCUUAUAC